GUGGCCCCCAGGGAGCUGUCUACUUGGGUGCUGGAGUACCACCCUGAAGUCCUGGCCUGGGAGAACUCCAGCACAAAGAAGCCAUUGCCUGACCAGAGCUGUACAGAAACACCCUCAGGUUGGGUGAGUCAGGAAAGCAUUUCUGUGACCUCUGUGAAGACUUCUAGCAAAGGAUGGAUCCCAAAAGGAUUGUGAGAGCCUUGGAUUUGCAGCCAAAUCAGACAGAGGGCAUUUUAAAGUGGAAACGCUGUUCACAGUUCAUGGGCCAUGUAAAGGCAGGUGCACACCAGCUCACCCUAGAGGUCACAGUCUGCUGGCUCCAUAUUAGA